AAGUCGUAACAAGGUUUCCGUAGGUGAACCUGCGGAAGGAUCAUUAUCAAUUAUCCACACCACACUGUGCAUUUUGAUGUUUGUGGCUUUGCUUGCAGAGCCACCUUUUAAACACAAACCACAAGUCUUUAUACAAGAAAUCUAAACAACUUUUAACAAUGGAUCUCUUGGCUCCU
rnacentral:misc_RNA from 1 species